CUUGCGCUUCGUUCGGUGAGGCUCUUACGUGAACACAGGCCACUGAUCUGACGGCAUCGAGAGAUGUUCAAGAUCAGGACAGGUUCCCUCGGCUUAAGGGGGUGCCCCAAGUGGCUGCCAUUUGGCUACGUCACGCAAUGCCGAAGCUCUGACAUGGAAGCGCAUG
rnacentral:sRNA from 2 species